GACGAACGCUGGCGGCGUGCUUAACACAUGCAAGUCGAACGGAGCACCCUUGACUGAGGUUUCGGCCAAAUGAUAGGAAUGCUUAGUGGCGGACUGGUGAGUAACGCGUGAGGAACCUGCCUUUCAGAGGGGGACAACAGUUGGAAACGACUGCUAAUACCGCAUGACGCAUUUUGAUCGCAUGGUCGAAAUGCCAAAGAUUUAUCGCUGAAAGAUGGCCUCGCGUCUGAUUAGCUAGUUGGUGAGGUAACGGCCCACCAAGGCGACGAUCAGUAGCCGGACUGAGAGGUUGACCGGCCACAUUGGGACUGAGAUACGGCCCAGACUCCUACGGGAGGCAGCAGUGGGGAAUAUUGGGCAAUGGGCGCAAGCCUGACCCAGCAACGCCGCGUGAAGGAAGAAGGCUUUCGGGUUGUAAACUUCUUUUAAGUGGGAAGAGCAGAAGACGGUACCACUUGAAUAAGCCACGGCUAACUACGUGCCAGCCGCCGCCGUAA
rnacentral:rRNA from 1 species